rnacentral:lncRNA from 1 species
CCAGACAUCAAAACAGAUCAAAACUAGUAAAUCAAAGGUGAUUAAUGCAAUUCAAAUUUUUGGUUAAUAGUGCUUGAAUGUUGAAUAAUACAUACACAUACAUCAUGCACAUAAACAAAACAUACCCAUAAAUUGUCAACAAAUUGAGCCAAAUUCUGCACUACAACAUCUUUUUUCAAAUUCUACACUACAACCAAAAUUCAAAUUCUAAACAAAAUAUUAUUGAUUUACAAACUCAUCGUAGUCCU